AACGAACGCUGGUGGCAUGCCUAAUACAUGCAAGUCGAACGAGAAAGUACUUCGGUACGAGUACAGUGGCGCACGGGUGAGUAACGCGUAGGUGACAUGCCUUUUAGUGGGGGACAACAUCGUGAAAACGGUGCUAAUACCGCAUAAGCUCAAAGUAUUGAAAAAAUUGAGGAAAGGGGGCUUCGGCUCUCGCUGAAAGAUUGGCCUGCGUAGCAUUAGCUUGUUGGUGGGGUAAUGGCCUACCAAGGCUACGAUGCUUAACUGGUCUGAGAGGAUGAUCAGUCACACUGGAACUGAGACACGGUCCAGACUCCUACGGGAGGCAGCAGUAGGGAAUAUUGCGCAAUGGGGGAAACCCUGACGCAGCAAUGCCACGUGAGUGAGGAAGGUCUUCGGAUUGUAAAGCUCUGUCCUAUAGGAAGAACUGCAUUAUGGUUAAUACCCAUAGUGUUUGACGGUACUAUAGAAGAAAGCACCGGCUAACUCCGUGCCAGCAGCCGCGGUAAUACGGAGGGUGCAAGCGUUGUUCGGAUUUAUUGGGCGUAAAGCGCGCGCAGGCGGAUUGACAAGUCAGAUGUGAAAUCUCGAGGCUUAACCUCGAAACUGCGUCUGAAACUGUUGAUCUAGAAUCUCAGAGAGGGUAGGGGAAUUUCACGUGUAGGGGUAAAAUCCGUAGAGAUGUGAAGGAACACCGGAGGCGAAGGCGCCUACCUGGAUGAGUAUUGACGCUGAGGCGCGAAAGCGUGGGGAGCAAACAGGAUUAGAUACCCUGGUAGUCCACGCCGUAAACGAUGAGUACUAGUUCUUGGGGGUAUUGACUCCUUCAGGGACGCAGCUAACGCAUUAAGUACUCCGCCUGGGAAGUACGGUCGCAAGACUAAAACUCAAAGGAAUUGACGGGGGCCCGCACAAGCGGUGGAUUAUGUGGUUUAAUUCGAAGCAACGCGCAGAACCUUACCUAGGCUUGAAAUCCUACGAAUCUGGAGUAAUGUCCGGAGUGCCCGCAAGGGAAUGUAGUGACAGGUGCUGCAUGGCUGUCGUCAGCUCGUGUUGUGAAAUGUUGGGUUAAGUCUCGCAACGAGCGCAACCCCUAUCUUUAGUUGCCAGCAUUAAGUUGGGCACUCUAGAGAGACUGCCUGGGUUAACCAGGAGGAAGGUGGGGAUGACGUCAAGUCCUCAUGGCCCUUAUGCCUAGGGCUACACACGUAAUACAAUGGCGUACACAGAGGGACGCGAUCGGGUGACCGUUAGCAAAUCUCAAAAAGUGCGUCUCAGUCCGGAUUGGAGUCUGCAACUCGACUCCAUGAAGUUGGAAUCGCUAGUAAUCGCGGAUCAGCACGCCGCGGUGAAUACGUUCCCGGGCCUU
rnacentral:rRNA from 1 species